rnacentral:snoRNA from 1 species
CACCUCUCAGGGUUGUACCUGGAGAGUUUCCAGUGCUCUACCAGUCUCAACUAUGGGAGGGAGAGUCAAGCAGAGGCCUACUCAUUCCAUUCCUAGCUUGGCCAGUAGCUAGUGAGUGGAAGGCAAUCUGCUAUAAGU